AUGGUUAAGGGACGAUGUUCCCAUUGCGACUCAAGAAAAGGAUUCUGAGCCUUAGAGCUUUGAAGGAGCCACUUGCUGGCCCGGUCCAAU
ensembl:snoRNA